GCAGAAGUAGUUCAGCGGUAGAAUACAACCUUGCCAAGGUUGGGGUCGCGGGUUCGAACCGCCGACCCUCUGCU
rnacentral:tRNA from 1 species